rnacentral:pre_miRNA from 1 species
AUUUUGUUAUUUUUGCCUGAAAAUACUUGUCGUAGAAAUGGAUACAAAUGGAUGUAUCUAGAUGUAUUUUAGUUCUAGAUACAUCCAUUCCUCGGACAAGUAUUUCUGGACGGAGGGAGUAUUUC